rnacentral:tRNA from 1 species
GCACCCGUGGUGGAACUGGUAGACACGCAAGGCUCAGGACCUUGUGGCUGCAAAGCUGUGGAGGUUCGAAUCCUCUCGGGUGCA